GCGCUGUUAGCUCAGUUGGUAGAGCAGUGGCCUCUUAAGCCAACGGUCGGGGGUUCGAAUCCCUCACAGCGCACCA
rnacentral:tRNA from 2 species